ACGGGUGAGUAAUGUCUGGGGAUCUGCCCGAUAGAGGGGGAUAACCACUGGAAACGGUGGCUAAUACCGCAUAACGUCGCAAGACCAAAGAGGGGGACCUUCGGGCCUCUCACUAUCGGAUGAACCCAGAUGGGAUUAGCUAGUAGGCGGGGUAACGGCCCACCUAGGCGACGAUCCCUAGCUGGUCUGAGAGGAUGACCAGCCACACUGGAACUGAGACACGGUCCAGACUCCUACGGGAGGCAGCAGUGGGGAAUAUUGCACAAUGGGCGCAAGCCUGAUGCAGCCAUGCCGCGUGUAUGAAGAAGGCCUUCGGGUUGUAAAGUACUUUCAGCGGGGAGGAAGGCAUUGUGGUUAAUAACCGCAGUGAUUGACGUUACCCGCAGAAGAAGCACCGGCUAACUCCGUGCCAGCAGCCGCGGUAAUACGGAGGGUGCAAGCGUUAAUCGGAAUUACUGGGCGUAAAGCGCACGCAGGCGGUCUGUUAAGUCAGAUGUGAAAUCCCCGGGCUUAACCUGGGAACUGCAUUUGAAACUGGCAGGCUUGAGUCUCGUAGAGGGGGGUAGAAUUCCAGGUGUAG
rnacentral:rRNA from 1 species